rnacentral:lncRNA from 1 species
CACAAAGGGGGAAGAUGAGGGGAGAACUGAAUACUCAAACACUCUCCAUCCCUCCAACUCUCCUUUCCCAGUCCUUUUGGGAACCGGUUGGCAUGGAAACCCUACACGUGUGCUGUCUUUGUCUGAAAAUAGACCCAAUGUUGCUGCUCAGAGGAGCGGGAUGCACGCACACACACACCACAAAUACACACACACACACACACCACAAAUACACACACACACACACCACAAAUACACACACACACACACACACCACAAAUACACACACACACACACACACCACAAAUACACACACACACACCACAAAUACACACACCACAAAUACACACACACCACAAAUACACACACAAACACACCACAAAUACACACACACCACAAAUACACACACAAACACACCACAAAUACACACACACCACAAAUACACCACAAAUACACACACACACACACACACACACACACACACACACACACACACACACACACCACAAAUACACACACACCACAAAUACACACACCACAAAUACACACACACCACAAAUACACACACACCACAAAUACACACACCACAAAUACACACACACCACAAAUACACACACACACACCACAAACACACACACACCACAAAUACACACACACACACACCACAAACACACACACACCACAAAUACACACACACACACACCACAAACACACACACACCACAAAUACACACACACACACACCACAAACACACACACACCACAAAUACACACACACACAAACCACAAAUGCACACACAAAUUCACUACGACAGACACACACACACACACACACACACACACACACACACACACACACACAGGGCUCGGAGCUGGUUAGCUCACUCAAUAAUUGAUUGUCCUUGAGGGCAAUAUGAGGUGCUAUCUACGGUGCGUUCCUGUAUCACCCACUCACCGUCUCACUCAAUCUCUUAUUAGUGAUGCUAUUGGCUUUACACUGUGUGUCGUUACACUGUCUGUCUUUACACUGUCUGUCUUUACACUGUCUGUCUUUACACUGUCUGUCUUUACACUGUCUGUCUUUACACUGUCUGUCUUUACACUGUCUGUCUUUACACUGUCUGUCGUUACACUGUCUGUCGUACACUGUCUGUCUUUACACUGUCUGUCUUUACACUGUCUGUCGUUACACUGUCUGUCUUUACACUGUCUGUCUUUACACUGUCUGUCUUUACACUGUCUG